rnacentral:rRNA from 1 species
AGAGCGAACGCUGGCGGCAGGCCUAAAACAUGCAAGUCGAACGGACCCUUCGGGGUUAGUGGCGGACGGGUGAGUAACACGUGGGAACGUGCCUUUUGGUUCAGAACAACUCAGGGAAACUUGAGCUAAUACUGGAUAAGCCCUCAUCCUUAAACAGAUGAGUGGGAAAGAUUUAUCGCCAUUGGAGCGGCCCGCGUCUGAUUAGCUAGUUGGUAGGGUAAAGGCCUACCAAGGCUUCGAUCAGUAGCUGGUCUGAGAGGAUGAUCAGCCACACUGGGACUGAGACACGGCCCAGACUCCUACGGGAGGCAGCAGUAGGGAAUCUUGCGCAAUGGGCGAAAGCCUGACGCAGCCAUGCCGCGUGAAUGAUGAAGGUCUUAGGAUUGUAAAAUUCUUUCAGCGGGGACGAUAAUGACGGUACCGCAGAAGAACGCCCGGACUAACUUCGUGCCAGCAGCCGC